UACGAAGGGGGCUAGCGUUGUUCGGAAUUACUGGGCGUAAAGCGCACGUAGGCGGAUAUUUAAGUCAGGGGUGAAAUCCCGGGGCUCAACCCCGGAACUGCCUUUGAUACUGGGUAUCUCGAGUCCGAGAGAGGUGAGUGGAAUUCCGAGUGUAGAGGUGAAAUUCGUAGAUAUUCGGAGGAACACCAGUGGCGAAGGCGGCUCACUGGCUCGGUACUGACGCUGAGGUGCGAAAGCGUGGGGAGCGAUCCGG
rnacentral:rRNA from 1 species